CCGAGCCACGUCCCUUGGAGGGUCACUCCUGACACAGCAUCUUCCCCUGCGAGGACCUCUCUAGGAUCAGGUCCCUGCUUCAACGGAAGGUUUCCAGCUAGGACCCCAUCUUCCGAUAGUCCUGUCCCAGAUCAGCCCGGGUCUCAGUCUGGCCCCGUGCACUUUGUGACGUUUCCUUUCCAACCGGGCUGCCUCCCCUGAAACUAUGGCCCAGGGCACUGCCCCGCCCCCUCACUGAACUACACCUGGGUUGGCCCCGAAUCCCUAGUAAGCCUCAGGCCGGCGCCUGACCUUAGCGGGCAGCAGUCCUGGCCCCGCCUGCAGGAGGAAAGCAGCAGGCUUGGCUCCGCCCCUGGGGUGGGCGGUACCAGACCUGGCGCCGCCCCCCGGAGGAACGCCACCUGGCCCAGUUAGCCUAUCCCGUGGGGGAGUUUCGGAUGCGCACUUUCCUCCAGGGUAGUAACGCUUCCUCUCUCUCCACAGUCGAGGCCUGCAUCCCUCCCUGCGGGGUCCAGGAGGCGAGCCGGAGUUUCCGCUGCCGCGGGUGCUACUCCGACGUGUGCGAACUCUCGCUGGAUUGCCCAGUCCAGGACUUGACAGUGACUCGAGGUCAACAGGCUAAGUUCUCUUGCUCUGUGAACUUCUCGCUGCCUAAGGAGGAAAUCACGUAUUCCUGGAAGUUCGCAGGAGGAGGUCCGGACGCAGGACCAGUCCUACUUCCGAGACAUCCUGCAGGCCCGAGGACCCCUGGUGCGGAUCCGGCCGGUGCAGCCCAAGCACCGCGGGACCUACUGCUGCGAGAUCUCGCAAGACCAGUUCCCCGUGGCGCGGGUCUAUUUCUUUCUUAACGUGACAGGUGCGCCCCCGCGUGGGGAGACCAAGCUGCAGGUCUCCUUUCGGAAAGUGCUGGACUGGGCGCCCCGGGAGGCGGAGAUGAUCGAAUCUUGGAGGCCAAGCCUGGGCGAGCUGCUGGCCAGUUCCGGGGCUCUGACGCCCAGCAACCAGUGUCUGCUCGCCGCCGCCGCGGCCUUAGCAUCAGCCAGUGCGACGCUUGUGGUGUGGAUGUUCUUUCGAUGGUACUUCCAGGGCAACUAACAAAGGUAUCUUUUUCUCACUUUCUUAUCCUGUUUUCAUUCCUAUAAUAAAGAAUAUAUGUCAGCUCUCUAGAUUAUCUCAUCUUUGAAGGUGUUCACUACUAAUGAAGGUAGAAGGAGGGGCACCAGACCACAAAUAUACCCAGGUGAAUAUUCCCCUAAUAACAGUAACGUGUAGAGCUGACACAGUGCAACGUUCUGUGCUGAGGACUUUGAGUACAAGCUCAGGCCCCUCCCCAGAUUUCUGGCAGUCUCUUUGACAUUUCAACCUGCAGAGCACACACUCAAAUGGAGUCCUUGUUGUCUCUUUGAGAGCCUGUUCCUCCCCAAGGCUUUCCUACUGAGGGUACCACCAACCACCCAGCUGCUCAACUGGAAACCUAAGAGUUUAAUUCCUCCUCCACUUCUACUUCCAUGCCUCAGCCUUUUUAACUCCUAAACAUCUUGUGCAGCCACCCUCUCUCUGUGGUCCCAGUUACCAUCAUCUCUUGCCUGGGUUAUUCCAGCAGCAUCUCCACUCACCUCCCUGCCUCCACUCAGUGCACUACAGUCCAUCCUCCACAUAGCAGCCAGGGGAAUAUUUUGAAGUAUGUCUGAUCGGGUCACUCCUUUGCUCAAAACCCUUUAGCUCUCUAUUGCCGCUGGAACAAAAUCCAGUUCCCUGUUAGGGCCUCCAAGAUGCCCCAGGUUCUGGGCCUUGCUGAUCUGGUGAGCCUUGUCUUUCUACCCUGCAGGCGUCAUGGGUAGAUCUUUCCACCCUGCAGUUUGUCUGGCCUUUGCUUAUUCCUUAAAUUUGUCAUGAUUCUUGUCACCCUCUCCAGGACCUGGUUCGCUGUUGUUUCCUGCCUAGAAUCACGUUUUCUCCCUUCUGUGUCUAAACUCACUUAUGAUUUCCUCUGAAAAACCUUUACAUGUAUUAACCAAUUUCAUCCCUCUGACAACUCUGUGUCUGGCAGGCAGCUGGACUCCACCUCCCUUUUUUUGUCCUCUUUACUCUCUGGCCCCACUAGUCAUUUUUUUGUCUCUUGAACAUGCAAAGCUCAGUCCCACGUUCCAGCCUUUGCACAUGAUGUUCUUCAUACUUGAUGUGACUUGACUGUGAAACUCACAAAGCUACCUCCCUCUCACUGCACAGGUCCCAGCUCAAAUGUCAUCUUCACUGACCAUUUCCCUCCCUGUCAGCUGACAUCCCCCUCUCUAUUUUCACUUGUGCAUUUUACUCAUGGGACUUGAUGUCAACCUGUGUUUUUUAUUUUGGUUUGUGUCUUCUCACCUAAAAGAUAAGUUACUUCUGGGCAUCUCCUCAUUCUUGUUCACUAAUAUAUUCCCCUUUGCUCACUCCUUCAUUCAUUCAGAGAAUAUUUACUGAGUACUUCUUUUUUUUUUUUUUUUUUUUUUUACUGAGUACUUCUAUGUGCCAGGCAUUUUCAAGGCACUGUAGAGACAGCAGUGAAGAAAUCAGAACAGAUGGGGUGCUGGGAUGGUUCAGUAGUUGUGUGUCUGCCUUUGGCUACGGUUGUGAUCCCGGGGUGCUGGGAUCGAGUCCCAUGGGGAGCCUGCUCCUCUCUCUGCCUGUAUCUCUGCCUCUCUCUGUGUGUCUCUCAUGAACAAAUAAAUAAAAUCUUUAAAAAAAAAAUCACAAUAGACAAAAAUCUGCUCCCUAAAGGAGUUUAGAUUCUUUGAGGGGCUAGUGCACAGAGGUAGAGAAAGAAUCUUGUGGAGCCCGACAUGGGGCUCAAUUUCAUAUCCCUGAAAUCAUGACCUGAGAUGAAAUCAGGAGUCAGAUGCUUAACUGACUGAGCUAGCCAGGUGCCUGUGGAGUUUAGAUUGUAAUGGAUGGUCAGACAAUAAAAAGAAAAUUAAACAAAAUAAGACACGGAUCAAAUGAGAAACGGCAAGGGCAAAAUCCCUCUAGUGCACCUAAUAUUGGAGACGUGGCCAGGAGGCAUCUGGAGCAGGACUUUAGGAAACGAGUACACAAUGAAGUCAGAGAGAAUGUGCAGGACCUUGGCCACUGUAAGGUCUGGAUUUCCCUCUAAGAUGAGAGUAAUGGGCAGUUUUUGAGGCCAGGAAAGUCAUGAUUUGAUUUGAUUUGUAUGGCUACUGCAUGGACAAUGAACUGUAGGGGGCAGGAACCACUAUGAGGUGCUGUGAUAAUCUAGACAGCUAUAAUUUGGGAAGGAGAUGCAGCUCAGGGACAACUGUGGUGACAGUGACGAGUUUGGGUUUUUGGUUUUUUUUUUUUUUUCUUUUUUAAAAAUUUUAUCUAUUUGAGAGAGAGCAGAGCAUGAGAGGGAGAAGCAGACUCCCCACCAAGCAGGAAGCCCAAUGUGGGGCUCGAUCCCAGGACCCCAGGAUCACGACCUUAGCCAAAAGCAGAUGCUUAACUGACUGAGCCUCCCAGGUGCCCCUGACAGUGAGGAGCUCUAGAUCUGUCCUGAAGGUAGGAUCAGUGGGGUUCGCUGAUAGAUUGGAAUGUUAGGUGUGAGAGGAAGAAAAGAGAAGGGGCAGUGUCCAUGGUCAGGGCAGCAGAGGGUCCAGUAGAAUCCUCUGCCAUGAUGGCAAUGUUCUAGAUAUGUACUGUCCAUUGUGGUGGCUACCAGCUACCUGUGGCCAUGAAGUGGGUCAGAUGUGGCCAGUGCAACUGAGGAUCUAAAUUUAUAAUCUUUUAUAGCUUUAAUAAUUUAAGUUGUCCCUCAGCUGUGAAAAUAGAAAUCACAGAGGCAUGUGUCUUUGUGUAACUCUGGAUCACACUCUUUGUUUACUUGACAAGGAGCUCCUGGAAGGCAGGGGCUGCCUCUUACUCAUUUCUGCAUUUGCAAACCUGGCAAAAUGUGUAAUUCAGUACAUACUUGGUAAAUGGUUUCAUGACUGAUUGACAUCAUCAAAGAAUGAAUUUAAAAAAUUAAAUAGUCCUCUGUGGUAGGGGAUAUGUUGUGUGCAGUGCAGUUCUAGCAUUUUUGAUGUGAGCAGCUAGAAUGUCAGAGUUCUGUUUACUGAGAUAACGGAUGCUGUGGCAGGAGCAGUUUUCUUGGAAGGUUUCAAGGAGGGAGGAAGAGGAGGACAGAUGAGGCGUUGGGUCUGGUGAUGAGGAAGUGACUUGGAGGCAAUUGGGUAUACAAGUCGGGAAUUCUGGAGUGAGGUCUGAUCUGAAGAUACAAGUUUCAGAGCCAUGGGAACCCUGGGUGGCGCAGCGGUUUAGCGCCUGCCUUUGGCCCAGGACGCGAUCCUGGAGACCCGGGAUCGAAUCCCACGUCGGGCUCCCGGUGCAUGGAGCCUGCUUCUCCCUCUGCCUAUGUCUCUCUGCCUCUCUCUCUCUCUGUGUGACUAUCAUAAAUAAAUAAAAAAUUUAAAAAAAAAGUUUCAGAGCCAUGCCACUGAAUGCACAGAGGAAAUGAGUGUAAAUCCGUAAGAGAAGUGGAUAGGAGGAAGUUUCUCCAAAGUUAAGCCAUUUGAACCAUGAGAAGCUGAGAAGGCAGCUGUGGCAUCCCUGAAAGCCAAAUGAAGAAAGCACUUCAAGAAGAGAGUGAUCAGCUGGUCAGAUGCUGCUGCAUCAUGAGAGAGGAGGCCUGAGAAUUGGCCAUUGGUUUCAGCAACAUGGACAUCACUGAUAAACUUGACUGGAGCCAUUUCCAAAGAGCCAUGGCUGGGAGCCAUCUGAUUGGCAUGGAUUUGAAAGUCAGUGGGAGGCAACACUAGUCAUCAGAGAAAUGCAAAUCAAAGCCACAAUGAGAUACCAUUUCACACCCCCUGGGAGGCUAUAAUCAAAAAGUCAGGUGAGGGGCACCUGAGUGGCUUAGUUGGUUAAGCAUCUGCCUUGGGCUCAGGUCAUGAUCCCAGGGUCCUGGAAUCAAGCCUCGCCUUGGGCUCCCUGCUCAGCAGAGUCUGCUUUUCCCUCUCCCUCUACUCCUCACCUUACUCAUGUUCACUGUCUCUCUCAAAUAAAAUCUUUUUUAAACAAAAUCAGGUGAUAACAAAUGUUGGUGACAAUAUAGGGAAAUCAGAACCCUCCUACUUUGCUAAUGGGAAUAUAAAAUGGUACAGGCGCUGUGAAAACCACCUGUCAGUUUCUUAAAUUAAACAGGACCACCAUAUGACUCAGCAACUCCACUCCUAGAGAAGCCCACCUGAGAGAAUCUAACACACAGAGAAUCUAAGACACAUCUAACACACAGUUUCUGUUCACACAGAAACGUGUCUGUGAAUGUCUAUAGCAUUAUUCACAACAGCCAAAAAAUGGAAACAUCCCAAAUAUCCAUCGACUGAUAAAUGUGUAAACCAAAUGUAAUAUAUCCCUACAGAGGAAUAUUAUUUGGAAGUAAAAGGGAAUGAGCCAAUGAUACAUGCAACAACACAGAUGAACUUUGUGUCACAAAAAAAUAUAUAUUGCAUGAUUCCAUUUAUGUGAAAUGUCCAGAAGAGACAAAUCUGUGGAGAUAAAGCAUAGAUUGUGGUUGCCUAGGGCAUGGAGGUGGGUUCGGGGUGAGGAAUGCAAGUGACUGCCAGUGAAUGUGGAGUUCCUUUUGGGGGGUGAUGAAAAUGUUCUAAAAUUAGAUUAUGGUAAUGGCUGCAGGAGUCUAUAAAGUUACUAAAGACCAUUGAAUUAGGCACUUAA